CAACAUCAACAGUAACAGCAACAGCAACAGCAACAAAAUCAUCAGCAGCCGAAUAAGAAGAGAGAGGAAGAGAAAAUCGCGUGCUAAAAUAUUUUUUUUUUGCCCGCCCUCCCAGCGUGAUAGUUUAUCUCUUGUGCCCGCACUGUGUGGCGUGUGCGUGUGUGUGUGUGCGAGCCUCUGCUGUGUGCGUGAGUGUGCCCCCCAAUGUGGUUGUGUGUGUGCGUAAAUUCUUUAACUAAAAUUGAUUGUUUAUUUCCGUUGUUGCAACAAAAAAGCAGCAACAACAAUGCUUCAUAGAUAACAAACAAAAAAUGAAAUUAAAUUUGGGGCAGUUGCCAAUUGAAAAAAACAAAAUGUGAUUUCCUUAUCAGAGCAGAGCGCACUAAAACAACAACAACAACAAAAGCAAAAGCAAAAGCAACAACAACAAAGAGCAAGAGAAAUAAAGAGCGAGUGAGGGAGAUAAUAAUACCUAUAUAUAUACAUGUAUAUAUAUAGUGUAUAUAGUAUAGUGCUUAUGAGGCAAUCGGCUCUCGAUCGAUCAUCAACGGAAAUAAAAUCAAAUUCAAAUUUCAAAAUGUCAUUCCAAAAGCGCAAACAAACCACAAAAACAGCAAAAUUGUUCAACAACUAAAACAAAACGAGAAAGUACCGUAAAUUAAAUCAACUAUAAAAAGAAAACGAAUUUUUUUUUUAUACACACAAAAACAAGGAUCAUCACUAACAAUUUAAUUGUUUUUUUAUUGUGUUGUGGAAAGUUAAAAGAAAGAAAGAACAAGCGAGAAGAAGUAGAAACAAAAGUUAAACGUAAAUAGAAAUACAAAAAUACAAAAAAAAAUAUUAAAUAUUCAAUAAAUACGUAGUAGGAUAAUAACAUACUGAUUAUUCCGUGCAAUCUAUUUCUAAAAUAACACAAAAACAAAACGAAAGCCAUAAAGAAAAACGUACAUACAUAUAGUAUACAUAUACAUAUAUAACUGAUAACUGAAGAGCCCGAAGAAGAAGAACGCAAAGAAAGAGCCAGAAUCAAACUGAAAACUGAUCAAACUUGCCACAAAGACACACAACAUAACACAGCCCCCUACCACCCCAUAUACAAAAUACCAUAGUAUAUAUAUCCAAAGCAGCUUUAAACUGGGAAAUCCUCUUCUUGAAAACCGAAACGUGAUAAAAAGUAAGUUCUGGACGGACGGUUUGGUGCACUUAACCCAAAUCGAUGGCUCCUCCGACAGGAGAGAGAGACAAGAGAGGAAUCGGGCUAACAAGACAAGUCACUUAAUGGCUGUCUCCAGUUUAGUGCAUUUUCGUGAUACCCCUCAAAAGAGGGUCAUCGCGUUCUGCGAUGAUGUUUGUGGUGGAGAGCAGGAAGUAUAAAUAUAUGUACACGCAUCCUUCGUGGGGGGAAAACUAGUCUCUGCAGUUCUUAGGGAUGGGCUUUCCAAAAAUUUGACGGCUACCCAUGCCAGGGUAUCCGCAGCCUAGGCCUCCUCCUUUCGGCUAUCCAUUUCCUUUUCGUUUUCUGUCUUUUGUCUUUUUGGGGCCAAUUAGCGAAACGAGUUUCUGCUAUACAAGAAAAAUAAGAAGCAGCGAGAAAACAUUUCCGCAAAAUAAAUAAAGUAAAGUAAAAUAAAGGAAAGGAACGGGACGGGAUGGAGGGGGAUGGAGUAGAGUGGAGUGAAGUGAAG